ensembl:snoRNA
CCAGAUCUUUGAUGAGGCUCUGGAAUGAGUGCUGGGCACAUGGCCUGAGUGAGAUGACAGAAACUUGUCUCAGUGCCUGUCUUCUGAGAACAGC